rnacentral:lncRNA from 1 species
CAACUUUUUCAAAAUAAUCCAACUAUCAAAAGUACAAAAACACGACCCACCUUCUAUUUAUCCCCUGUCAACCUAGCUUAGAAGUUAACCCUAUUUGGAAAGAGGAGCAAAUCUAAGCCCUUUUGUAGAUCUAUCAAAUUUUUCAGAUUUGGAUCCCGUAGUACAACCUUUGUAACAUUGAGAACAAGUAUGCUUAGAUCAUGGCCAUCUAGUUUAUCUUAAAAAAAUUAUAUCUUACAUCAAGUGCAUUACAUCAGUAGUGUCCCAUAAAAAUAAUUCACGACGAGACG